AGCAGCCGCGGUAAUUCCAGCUCCAAUAGCGUAUAUUAAAGUUGUUGCAGUUAAAAAGCUCGUAGUUGAAUUUCGGGACCAAUAUGUCGGUCGUGCUUCGGUACGUACUUGCAUUAUUGGUUUCUCCCUUCUGAAGAACCAUGAUGUCAUUAAUUUGGUGUCUUGGGGAAUCAGGACUGUUACUUUGAAAAAAUUAGAGUGUUUAAAGCAGGCUCACGCUUGAAUACAUUAGCAUGGAAUAAUGAAAUAGGACGUUUGAUUCUAUUUUGUUGGUUUCUAGGAUCGACGUAAUGAUUAAUAGGGAUAGUUGGGGGCAUUAGUAUUCAAUUGUCAGAGGUGAAAUUCUUGGAUUUAUUGAAGACUAACUACUGCGAAAGCAUUUGCCAAGGAUGUUUUCAUUAAUCGAGAACGAAAGUUAGGGGAUCGAAGACGAUCAGAUACCGUCGUAGU
rnacentral:rRNA from 1 species